ACCUGGGAUAGCUCAGUCAGUCGAGCGUGAGACUCUUGAUCUCAAAGUUGUGGGUUCAAGUCCUAUGUUGGGCA